AAAAAAAUCCUUCAUCCAGCUUGUACCAGUUUCUUAGGCACGGAGAGCCCCCAUGCCUUCUGUGGGUGGUCACUCCUUUAUAGUCUGUGUACCCCAUGGUGGGUCAGAGCAACUUGUGGGACCUGAAGGACCAGAGCAGCUAGAGAGCACAACCUUGUGCAGUAGUGUACAUAGGGAGCCUGGAGCUAACUAGGAAGGCGAUGGCCAGGGCUACUGGGUGGAAAGAGCCCCAAAUGCUCAGAGGCACCAGCCUCUACACUUUUCGUGUGCUCACCCCUCUGCCAUGACUUCUGGUCAUGUGAUUCCUGGAGCCUGACAUCCUUUGUAUCCCGAACAGCAACCUCCGGCGCCCAUUGCAAAUAGCCUGGACCCCCUGAAGUUAGAGGGCUCACUGACCUCCAGCCCAGCUGUUCCCUGUUCCUGGCAGAGGUCAGGGAAGUUUCACCGAGAGGCUUUUCCUAGCCUAAUCACCACCUUGCACUCUGCGUUUGGCGUCUUCAACUCCGAACAGGAGAGCUUCCCUUGUGUGAGAGAAUCCAUAUGCUGGCGAUUCAUUUCCCUAUGUGAUAUAGGGGGGCACGUUUAGCCAUGACCCCAUGUCACGUUCUGAAGUGGAGAAUUCUUGGGUUAGAGGAAGGUCAGAGGAAGCAGUGACUAAGAAGAUGUGUCCUGAAUAUGGAGUUCUGUAGACCAGAGUCUGUCAAAUCCAGGUUUUGCAAGGGUGUGUUCCUUCCAGAGGUCUCAGGGAAGGUGUUCCCUGGCCCUUUCCAGCUUGUGAGGAUCCUCUGCAUUCCUGGCUUUUGGAGCCCUGCUUUCUGCCUUCAGAGCCCCAGUGCUGCAUCUCGCUGAGCAGCUGUCAGAAGCCACAUCUUUCUCUGCCUACAGUCAGAAAUGCUUCUCCAGAUGGGGUUCACCCAGAUGAUCCAAGAGUGUUAGAGUCCAUGAUGACAGAAUGAAGCAUGAUGGCCCAUGGCUGGAGCAGUAACUGUGAACUCAUAUCUCACAAGCAGGGGCAGAGAGCAUACCGGGAAUGGCACCUCUCCCCCAACGAGGCCACAUCUCCUAAUCCUUCCUAAAGAGUGCCACCACCAGCAGACCAAGUAUUAAAAUAUGCUAGCCUGGGACAGGCCUCCAUCCUGUCACUCUCAUUCAAACCACUCGGCUUCCUGAGCGCAGGUGGGAUCACCAUGCACGGUUUCAGUUCUUUGGAGGAAUCUCCCUGAAACCGGGACUGCUGCAUCACACGAGACCUCUGCACCAUGGGAGUGAGCUGGCGGAGGGAGGGAAUGGACAGGCUGAAAAGCAAGAGAAGUUUGGGAGAGGCCCAAGAAAGCCAGCCUGUGUACCCUGGAGGCCGGGGAUGCUGGCUGACUUCCUACAAGCUAUUGCUGACAACAUCUUCCAACGGAUGCCUCACCUCCACCACUAUCCAGCCACCAAGACCACCUCUGAGAGCCCCACCUGGCUCAUAACUAAAACAGUUCCUGUUGGUCCUCUGCCCUGGACCUGUGGCAUUCUGGACUAGCUCUGUCUUCAGUUGCAGCCACGUGUAGUGUGUGAACAAUAAAUCAUGCCCUCUGCUAUCCCAGACAAAGAAGCAAAAAAACAUUUCAAAAAAUCAUAAUGUGGAUGAUAAGUGUUUCAGACAAUGAAUACAUGAUUAAAACAAAACAGAGAGAGACCCUUCGGUGAAGUAGAAGGAAACAACUCAGGAAGGAAUUUGGAAUACUAGGAACUG
ensembl:lncRNA